rnacentral:lncRNA from 10 species
GAGAUCUUUGAAAGUGCAGGUGGAACAGAGUUCUUGCCCCAUGGCUCCACUACCGUUGCAGUCAUAGUGAACGUGAGACCAGAUGGCAGGGAUCUGAUGGAAAUUAUUGAUUUAAAGGAUGCAGAUGAGAACCUGAAGAGCUGACUAAAAAGUAAUGACUGAAAAGCUGAGAUACUGAGCAUAGCUUCCAAAUGUCUCAUGGGGCUAUAGAGAAAAACCCUGUGUUCAUGGCCCACUGUGAAAUAAGAAUGCUAGGAAACCUCCAGGCUUUUAGUUAGGACUCCUGAAACAUGAUAGUAAGGAAUGUGAAUAUAAACAUAGGAGAAAACCAAAAAUAUGCCAGACCUCACAAAGAAUGAA